UUGACCUCGAAUCAGGUAGGACUACCCGCUGAAGCAUAUCAAUAAGCGGAGGA
rnacentral:rRNA from 2 species